rnacentral:rRNA from 1 species
CCCUGCCUUUUGUACACACCGCCCGUCGCACCUACCGAUUGAAUGGUCCGGUGAAAUCCUCGGAUCGAGCCGUGGGGCAACUCCGGUUCGAGAAGUUGAUUAAACCUUACCAUUUAGAGGAAGGUGAA